rnacentral:rRNA from 1 species
CACUUAUAGAUGGACCCGCGCCGUAUUAGCUAGUUGGUAAGGUAACGGCUUACCAAGGCGACGAUACGUAGCCGACCUGAGAGGGUGAUCGGCCACACUGGAACUGAGACACGGUCCAGACUCCUACGGGAGGCAGCAGUAGGGAAUCUUCCGCAAUGGGCGAAAGCCUGACGGAGCAACGCCGCGUGAGUGAUGAAGGGUUUCGGCUCGUAAAACUCUGUUAUUAGGGAAGAACAAACGUGUAAGUAACUGUGCACGUCUUGACGGUACCUAAUCAGAAAGCCACGGCUAACUACGUGCCAGCAGCCGCGGUAAUACGUAGGUGGCAAGCGUUAUCCGGAAUUAUUGGGCGUAAAGCGCGCGUAGGCGGUUUCUUAAGUCUGAUGUGAAAGCCCACGGCUCAACCGUGGAGGGUCAUUGGAAACUGGGAAACUUGAGUGCAGAAGAGGAAAGUGGAAUUCCAUGUGUAGCGGUGAAAUGCGCAGAGAUAUGGAGGAACACCAGUGGCGAAGGCGACUUUCUGGUCUGUAACUGACGCUGAUGUGCGAAAGCGUGGGGAUCAAACAGGAUUAGAUACCCUGGUAGUCCACGCCGUAAACGAUGAGUGCUAAGUGUUAGGGGGUUUCCGCCCCUUAGUGCUGCAGCU